rnacentral:rRNA from 1 species
UACAGAGGUCCCAAGCGUUGUUCGGAUUCAUUGGGCGUAAAGGGUGCGUAGGCGGCGCGGUAAGUCGGAUGUGAAAUCUCGGAGCUUAACUUCGAAACUGCAUUCGAUACUGCCGUGCUUGAGGACUGGAGAGGAGACUGGAAUUUACGGUGUAGCGGUGAAAUGCGUAGAUAUCGAGAGGAACACCAGUGGCGAAGGCGAGUCUCUGGACGACUCCUGACACUGAGGCACGAAAGCCGGGGGAGCAAACAGG